rnacentral:lncRNA from 1 species
GUUAAAAAUGUCAGUUCCUAUGGCUUUAUGAUGUAUAAAUAUGAAUUUAAAGCAAAGGUCAAAAUCUAGAACGUCCAAUUAACCUUUGACCUUGACCUCAAUUUCAAGGUCAUAGACUAAACAUCUCGAAUCAAAAGACACUAGUUCCUUAAUAUGUAUGGUUCAUGAGUAAUAUCACUUUACGCAUAAUUCUAAAUAUAAGAGGGGCGAAAACUCCCGUUUAUUGUCUACGCACCCUUGCAACCAAAAUUUAUAAGUUACGACAUGUCGCAACUAACAAUUUAGUAAAAAUAAUUUGUCGAUAUCUUAUAAGGUUAAUGAAAAUAAGUGAAAAUAAGCCAAAAUCAAAAUUUAGAAUUUGACCUUGACCUUUGACCUUGACCUAAUUUUCAUUUUUUUGGACCAAGGAUCUUAAAUCAAAAGACCCUAGGUCUCUAUCACUUAUGGUUUACCAGUUAGAAAUGCAUAUCACUUAUAUCAUAUAUAAAAGGGGGGAUAACUCUCAUAUGGAGUCUCCGGAUAGCUUCGGUCAAAAUAAAACAAAACAUCCUGAGGAUAUAACGAGCAAUUUGGAAAAAUAAAUUUGUCGGUUUCUUAUACGGUUGCGAAGCCUUAGAGAUAACAAGAAAAACAGUGUUCGGGGAGAUAACUCUUACAAGGUAAAGUUUUUUUGUUACGCGGUGUCAGUUUCAGAAGCGUAUUAACUGUUCGAUAUCAUAUACCAUAUAUCUAAGCGACAUCUUGGGAAACAAAAAAACAGUGAAGGAAAAAAAAGUUGGCGGAAGAAAAAAAAAUAAAUAAUUAAAAACCAAUUGUUCAGAGAACAAUUGAAGGUCUUUCAACCAAUAAGGCUCUAUUUUGAAAUAAAAAUAUUAAAAUUCAGUUAAAAUUGUCAGUUUCUAUGGCUUUAUGAUGUAUAUAUAUGAAUUUCGAGCAAAGGUCAAUAUCUAGAACGUCAAAUUGAACUAUGACCUUGACCUCAAUUUCAAGGUCAUAGACUAAACAUCUCAGAUCAAAAGACACUAGUUCCUUAAUAUGUAUGGUUCAUGAGUAAUAUCACUUUACGCAUAAUUGUUAAUAUAAAGGGGCAAAAAUUCGCGUUUAUUGUCUACAUACCCUUGCAACCAAAAUUUAUAAGUUACGACAUGUCGCAACUAACAAUUUAGUAAAAAUAAUUUGUCGAUAUCUUAUAAGGUUAAUGAAAAUAAGUGAAAAUAAGCCAAAAUCAAAAUUAGAAUUUGACCUUGACCUUUGACCUUGACCUAAUUUUCAUUUUGUUGGACCAAAGGAUCUUAAAUCAAAAAGACCCUAGGUCUCUAUCACUUAUGGUUUACCAGUUAGAAAUGCAUAUCACUUAUAUCAUAUACAAAAGGGGGGAUAACGCUCAUAUGGAGUCUCCGGAUAGCUUUGAUCAAAAUAAAACAGAACAUCCUGAGGAUAUAACGAGCAAUUUGGAAAAAUAAAUUUGUCGGUUUCUUAUACGGUUGCGAAGCCUUAGAUAUAACAAGAAAAACAGUGUUUGGGGAGAUAACUCUUACAAGGUAAAGUUUUUUGUUACGCGGUGUCAGUUUCAGAAGCGUAUUAACUGUUCGAUAUCAUAUACCAUAUAUCUAAGCGACAUCUUGGGAAACAAAAAAACAGUGAAGGAAAAAAAAAAUUGGCGGAAGAAAAAAAAAAAUAAUUAAAAACCAAUUGUUCAAAGAACAAUUGAAGGUCUUUCAACUAAUAAAGAUCUAUUUUGAUAUGAAAAUAUUAAAAUUCAGUUAAAAAUGUCAGUUCCUAUGGCUUUAUGAUGUAUAAAUAUGAAUUUAAAGCAAAGGUCAAAAUCUAGAACGUCCAAUUAACCUUUGACCUUGACCUCAAUUUCAAGGUCAUAGACUUAACAUCUCGAAUCAAAAGACACUAGUUCCUUAAUAUGUAUGUUCAUGAGUAAUAUCACUUUACGCAUAAUUCUAAAUAUAAGAGAGGCAAAAACUCCCAUUUAUUGUCUACGCACCCUUCCAAUCAAAAUUUAUGAGUUACGACAUGUCGCAACUAACAAUUUAGUAAAAAUAAUUUGUUGAAAUCUUAUAAAGUUAAUGAAAGUAAGUGAAAAUAAGCCAAAAUCAAAAUUUAAAAUUUGACCUUGACCUUUGACCUUGACCUAAUUUUCAUUUUUUUUGGACCAAGGAUCUUAAAUCAAAAGACCCUAGGUCUCUAUCACUUAUGGUUUACCAGUUAGAAAUGCAUAUCACUUAUUAUCAUAUAUAAAAGGGGGGAUAACUCUCAUAUGGAGUCUCCGGAUAGCUUCGGUCAAAAUGAAACAGAACAUCCUGAGGAUAUAACGAGCAAUUUGGAAAAAUAAAUUUGUCGGUUUCUUAUACGGUUGCGAAGCCUUAGAGAUAACAAGAAAAACAGUGUUCGGGGAGAUAACUCUUACAUGAGAAAGUUUUGUUACGCGAGUUGGUUUCAAAAAGCGUAUAAACUGUUUCGAUAUCAUAUUUCCAAAUAUCUAAGCGACAUCUUGCGAACAAAAAAAACAGCGAAGGAAAAAAAAGUUGGCGGAAGAAAAAAAAUAAUAAUAAUAAUAAUUAAAAACCAAUUGUUCAAAGAACAAUUGAAGGUCUUUCAACUAAUAAAGAUCUAUUUUGAUAUGAAAAUAUUAAAAUUCAGUUGAAAAUGUCAGUUCCUAUGGCUUAAUGAUGUAUAAAUAUGAAUUUCAAGCAAAGGUCAAAAUCUAGAACGUCCAAUUAACCUAUGACCUUGACCUCAAUUUCAAGGUCAUAAACCAAGGAUCCCAAAUCAAAAGACCCUUGGUCUGUAUUAUGUAUGGUUCAUGAGUAAUAUCACUUUAAACAUAAUUCUAAAUAUAAGAGGGGCGAACACUCCCAUUUAUUGUCUACGCACCCUUGCAACCAAAAUUUAUAAGUUACGACAUGUCGCAACUAACAAUUUAGUAAAAAUAAUUUGUCGAUAUCUUAUAAGGUUAAUGAAAAUAAGUGAAAAUAAGCCAAAAUCAAAAUUUAAAAUUUGACCUUGACCUUUGACCUUGACCUAAUUUUCAUUUUUUUAGACCAAGGAUCUUAAAUCAAAAGACCCUAGGUCUCUAUCACUUAUGGUUUACCAGUUAGAAAUGCAUAUCACUUAUAUCAUAUACAAAAGGGGGGAUAACGCUCAUAUGGAGUCUCCGGAUAGCUUCGGUCAAAAAAAAACUGAACAUCCUGAGGAUAUAACGAGCAAUUUGGAAAAAUAAAUUUGUCGGUUUCUUAUACGGUUGCGAAGCCUUAGAGAUAACAAGAAAAACAGUGUUCGGGGAGAUAACUCUUAUUUGGGAAAGUAUGCAGUUAAGCAGAGUUGGUUUCAAAAGCGUAUAAACUGUUCGAUAUCAUAUACCAUAUAUCUAAGCGACAUCUUGCGAAACAAAAAAACAGCGAAGGAAAAAAAAUGUGGCGGAAGAAAAAAAAAAAUAAUAAUAAUAAUAAUAAUAAUCAGAACAAAACCUAUAGGUCUUUCAACUGAAAGGUUGAAAGACCUAAUAAUAAUAAUAAUAAUCAGAACAAAACCUAUAGGUCUUUCAACUGAAAGGUUGAAAGACCUAAUUAAAAACCAAUUGUUCAAAGAACAAUUGAAGGUCUUUCAACUAAUAAAGAUCUAUUUUGAUAUGAAAAUCUUAAAAUUCAAUUGAAAAUGUCAGUUCCUAUGGCUUUAUGAUGUUUAAAUAUGAAUUUAAAGCAAAGGUCAAAAUCUAGAACGUCCAAUUAACCUUUGACCUUGACCUCAAUUUCAAGGUCAUAGACUAAACAUCUCGAAUCAAAAGACACUAGUUCCUUAAUAUGUAUGGUUCAUGAGUAAUAUCACUUUACGCAUAAUUCUAAAUAUAAGAGGGGCAAAAACUCCAGUUUAUUGUCUACGCACCCUUGCAACCAAAAUUUAUAAGUUACGACAUGUCGCAACUAACAAUUUAGUAAAAAUAAUUUGUCGAUAUCUUAUAAGGUUAAUGAAAAUAAGUGAAAAUAAGCCAAAAUCAAAAUUUAGAAUUUGACCUUGACCUUUGACCUUGACCUAAUUUUCAUUUUUUUGGACCAAGGAUCUUAAAUCAAAAGACCCUAGGUCUCUAUCACUUAUGGUUUACCAGUUAGAAAUGCAUAUCACUUAUAUCAUAUACAAAAGGGGGAUAACGCUCAUAUGGAGUCUCCGGAUAGCUUCGGUCAAAAUAAAACAGAACAUCCUGAGGAUAUAACGAGCAAUUUGGAAAAAUAAAUUUGUCGGUUUCUUAUACGGUUGAGAAGCCUUAGAGAUAACAAGAAAAACAGUGUUCGGGGAGAUAACUCUUACAAGGUAAAGUUUUUUGUUACGCGGUGUCAGUUUCAGAAGCGUAUUAACUGUUCGAUAUCAUAUACCAUAUAUCUAAGCGACAUCUUGGGAAAAAAAAAAACAGUGAAGGAAAAAAAAUUUGGCGGAAGAAAAAAAAAAAUAAUUAAAAACCAAUUGUUCAAAGAACAAUUGAAGGUCUUUCAACUAAUAAAGAUCUAUUUUGAUAUGAAAAUAUUAAAAUUCAGUUGAAAAUGUCAGUUCCUAUGGCUUUAUGAUGUAUAAAUAUGAAUUUAAAGCAAAGGUCAAAAUCUAGAACGUCCAAUUAACCUUUGACCUUGACCUCAAUUUCAAGGUCAUAGACUAAACAUCUCGAAUCAAAAGACACUAGUUCCUUAAUAUGUAUGGUUCAUGAGUAAUAUCACUUUACGCAUAAUUCUAAAUAUAAGAGGGGCGAAAACUCCCGUUUAUUGUCUACGCACCCUUGCAACCAAAAUUUAUAAGUUACGACAUGUCGCAACUAACAAUUUAGUAAAAAUAAUUUGUCGAUAUCUUAUAAGGUUAAUGAAAAUAAGUGAAAAUAAGCCAAAAUCAAAAUUUAGAAUUUGACCUUGACCUUUGACCUUGACCUAAUUUUCAUUUUUUUUGGACCAAGGAUCUUAAAUCAAAAAGACCCUAGGUCUCUAUCACUUAUGGUUUACCAGUUAGAAAUGCAUAUCACCUAUAUCAUAUAUAAAAGGGGGGAUAACUCUCAUAUGGAGUCUCCGGAUAGCUUCGGUCAAAAUUAAUCAAAUCAUCUUGAGGAUGUAACGAGCAAUUUGGUAAAAUAAAUUUGUCGGUUUCUUAUACGGUUGCGAAGCCUUAGAGAUAACAAGAAAAACAGUGUUCGGGGAGAUAACUCUUACAAGGUAAAGGUUUUUGUUACGCGGUGUCAGUUUCAGAAGCGUAUUAACUGUUCGAUAUCAUAUACCAUAUAUCUAAGCGACAUCUUGCGAAACAAAAAAACAGUGAAGGAAAAAAAAGUUGGCGGAAGAAAAAAAAUAAUAAUAAUAAUAAUAAUAAUAAUAAUAAUCAGAACAAAUACAAUAGGUCUUUCACCUGAAAGGUUGAAAGACCUAAUAAUCAGGGUCUUUCACCUGAAAGGUUGAAAGACCUAAUAAUCAGAACAAAAACAAUAGGUCUUCAACUGAAAGGUUGAAAGACCUAAUAAUAAUCAGAACAAAACCUAUAGGUCUUUCAACCGAAAGGUUGAAAGACCUAAUAAUAAUAAUAAUCAGAACAAAAACAAUAGGUCUUUCACCUGAAAGGUUGAAAGACCUAAUAAUAAUCAGAACAAAAACAAUAGGUCUUUCACCUGAAAGGUUGAAAGACCUAAUAAUAAUAAUCAGAACAAAAACAAUAGGUCUUUCAUCCGAAAGGUUGAAAGACCUAAUAAUCAGAAGAAAUCCAAUAGGUCUUUCCACGGAAAAGUGGAAAGACCUAAUAAUAAUCAGAAGAAAUCCAAUAGGUCUUUCCACGGAAAAGUGGAAAGACCUAAUUAUAUUAUCAUAACUGCAGU